rnacentral:rRNA from 1 species
UAAGACGAACCGAGCAAACGUUAUUCGGAAUCACUGGGCUUAAAGGGCGCGUAGGCGGGCAUUCAAGUCUGUGGUGAAAUCCGGCAGCUUAACUGUCGAAUUGCCAUGGAUACUGGGUGUCUCGAGGGAGGUAGGGGCGCGCGGAACUAACGGUGGAGCGGUGAAAUGCGUUGAUAUCGUUAGGAACUCCGGUGGCGAAGGCGGCGCGCUGGACCUCUUCUGACGCUGAGGCGCGAAAGCCAGGGGAGCAAACGGGAUUAGAUACCCCGGUAGUCCUGGCCCUAAACGUUGGGUACUAGAUAGUAGCCUUCACAUGGGGUUACUGUCGAAGCAAAAGUGCUAAGUACCCCGCCUGGGGAGUAUGGUCGCAAGGCUG